AAACUUGAGAGUUUGAUCAUGGCUCAGAACGUACGCUGGCGGCACGCCUAACACAUGCAAGUCGAACGAAGUAGCAAUACUUAGUGGCAGACGGGUGAGUAACAUGUGGGUAUCUUCCCUUUGGCCUGGAAUAACACGAGGAAACUUGUGCUAAUACCGGAUAAGUCUUUACGGAGAAAGCUUUAUGCACCAUUGGAUGAGCCCGCACUUGAUUAGUUUGUUGGUAGGGUAAUGGCCUACCAAGACUGUGAUCAAUAGCUGAUUUGAGAGGAUGAUCAGCCACAUUGGGACUGAGACACGGCCCAAACUCCUACGGGAGGCAGCAGUGGGGAAUCUUGCACAAUGGAGGAAACUCUGAUGCAGCGAUGCCGCGUGAGUGAAGAAGGCCCUUGGGUUGUAAAGCUCUUUCGUCGGGGAAGAAAAUGACUGUACCCGAAUAAGAAGGUCCGGCUAACUUCGUGCCAGCAGCCGCGGUAAUACGAAGGGACCUAGCGUAGUUCGGAAUUACUGGGCUUAAAGAGUUCGUAGGUGGUUGAAAAAGUUGGUGGUGAAAUCCCAGAGCUUAACUCUGGAACUGCCAUCAAAACUUUUCAGCUAGAGUUUGAUAGAGGAAAGCAGAAUUUCUAGUGUAGAGGUGAAAUUCGUAGAUAUUAGAAAGAAUACCAAUUGCGAAGGCAGCUUUCUGGAUCAUUACUGACACUGAGGAACGAAAGCAUGGGUAGCGAAGAGGAUUAGAUACCCUCGUAGUCCAUGCCGUAAACGAUGUGUGUUAGACGUUGGAAAUUUAUUUUCAGUGUCGCAGCGAAAGCGAUAAACACACCGCCUGGGGAGUACGACCGCAAGGUUAAAACUCAAAUGAAUUGACGGGGACCCGCACAAGUAGUGGAGCAUGUGGUUUAAUUCGAAGAUACGCGCAGAACCUUACCAACACUUGACAUGUUCGUCGCGACUUUAAGAGAUUAAAGUUUUCGGUUCGGCCGGACGAAACACAGGUGCUGCAUGGCUGUCGUCAGCUCGUGUCGUGAGAUGUUGGGUUAAGUCCCGCAACGAGCGCAACCCUCACUUUUAGUUGCCAUCAUUAAGUUGGGCACUCUGAAAGAACUGCCAGUGAUAAGCUGGAGGAAGGUGGGGAUGACGUCAAGUCCUCAUGGCCCUUACGUGUUGGGCUACACACGUGCUACAAUGGUAUCUACAACAGGAAGCAAAACGGCGACGUUAAGCAAAUCCUUAAAAGAUACCUCAGUUCGGAUUGCACUCUGCAACUCGAGUGCAUGAAGCUGGAAUUACUAGUAAUCGUGGAUCAGCGUGCCACGGUGAAUGCGUUCCCGGGUCUUGUACACACCGCCCGUCACACCAUGGGAGUUGGUUCUACCUUAAGGCAAGGUUUAAUACCCUUGACCACGGUAUAGUCAGCGACUGGGGUGAAGUCGUAACAAGGUAGCCGUAGGGGAACCUGCGGCUGGAUUACCUCCUUU
rnacentral:rRNA from 1 species